rnacentral:rRNA from 1 species
UUUGUUUGGAGAGUUUGAUCCUGGCUCAGGACGAACGCUGGCGGCGUGCUUAACACAUGCAAGUCGAACGGAAAGGCCCUUCGGGGUACUCGAGUGGCGAACGGGUGAGUAACACGUGGGUGAUCUGCCCUGCACUUUGGGAUAAGCCUGGGAAACUGGGUCUAAUACCGAAUAUACCUCUUGGAUUGCAUGAUUCUUG